rnacentral:rRNA from 1 species
AUUGAACGCUGGCGGCAGGCCUAACACAUGCAAGUCGAACGAGUGGCGGACGGGUGAGUAAUGUCUGGGAAACUGCCUGAUGGAGGGGGAUAACUACUGGAAACGGUAGCUAAUACCGCAUACCAUCGGAUGUGCCCAGAUGGGAUUAGCUAGGAGGUGGGGUAACGGCUCACCUAGGCGACGAUCCCUAGCUGGUCUGAGGUGAUGACCAGCCACACUGUAACGGAGACACGGUCCAGACUCCGACGGGCGGCAGCAGUGGGGAAUAUUGCACAAUGGGCGCAAGCCUGAUGCAGCCAUGCCGCGUGUAUGAAGAAGGCCUUCGGGUGGUAAAGUACUUUCAGCGAGGCGUCGUUACCCGCAGAAGAAGCACCGGCUAACUCCGUGCCAGCAGCCGCGGUAAUUC